GGAGGGUGCAAGCGUUAAUCGGAAUUACUGGGCGUAAAGCGCACGCAGGCGGUCUGUCAAGUCGGAUGUGAAAUCCCCGGGCUCAACCUGGGAACUGCAUCCGAAACUGGCAGGCUAGAGUCUUGUAGAGGGGGGUAGAAUUCCAGGUGUAGCGGUGAAAUGCGUAGAGAUCUGGAGGAAUACCGGUGGCGAAGGCGGCCCCCUGGACAAAGACUGACGCUCAGGUGCGAAAGCGUGGGGAGCAAAC
rnacentral:rRNA from 1 species